GGCUUCGUGGUCUAGUGGUAUGAUUGUCGCUUCGGGCGCUGCGGCCUCUGGUUGAAAAAGCCAUGAAUUGUGACAGGCCUCGGGUUCGAAUCCCGACGAAGCCC